rnacentral:misc_RNA from 1 species
GAUGAAGAACUCAGCGAAAUGCGAUACGUAAUGUGAAUUGCAGAAUUCAGUGAAUCAUCGAAUCUUUGAACGCAUAUUGCGCUCUCUGGUAUUCCGGAGAGCAUGCUUGUUUGAGUAUCAGUAAACACCUCAACUUCCAUAUCUUUUUUGAAAUGGGAGUUGGACUUGAGUGAUCCCAACGCUUUUCCUCACCGAAAAGUGGCGGGUUACUUGAAAUGCAGGUGCAGCUGGACUUUUCUCUGAGCUAUAAGCAUAUCUAUUUAGUCUGCCUAAAAAACAGAUUAUUACCUUUGCUGCAGCUAACAUAAAGGAGAUUAGUUCUUGUGCUGACUGAUGCAGGAUUCACAAAGACAGGCUUCGGCCGACUUUGUAAACUCGAUCUCAAAUCAAGUAAGACUACCCGCUGAACUUAAGCAUAUCAAUAAGCGGAGGA